rnacentral:misc_RNA from 1 species
UAAAUUUUUAAUUCUAAAAAAUAAAAUAAAAAAAUCCUGAUCGCGUACACACCGGCUAUUUUAUUCAUGAGCAAUUACGCAUCAUCAAAUAUCGAAUCACGCCACCAAACACUGUACAACCGUCCCUCUGUCAUAAACACUACGCAUCGUCUACCGCAGCUGACGCCAUUAAUUUUUCUUAAUUCAUUUUGCACCACCUGGCGAUCUCAGAGACGGAGUUGCUGGCAGUCAAGGGUCCUAGCGGCUGAUCUUCUGCACGCCACAGCAAGCUACGCAGCCCCAUCGAAAUUGGAUUUUCAGAUAUUUUCCAUUUUGUUUAACAAUUUAGAAUCGUUCGAUCAAUCAAUUUCCCGAAUUUUCUUUUGAUUUUUUUGAUGACGCGCAAUCGGUGAAAUCCGAUCCUAUAUCACUGACUCAUUGUAGCUGGACUUGAUCUCUCCUAUAAACGGCACGUUAGAGAGAGUGAGAGAUCUUUCAAGGAAGGUAGUUUGGGCUUUUAUUGUUGUUUUUGAUAGUGAGGUUGCUUGGAUUUAGGUGUACACUUUUGUGAGUUGUUGUUUGGAGGUAAAGGCUCUGUUUGGUUUUAUAUUAGCUUUAAAGAAAAACGGAAUUUGUACAUUUGAUUUUGUAGCGUUUGUUUGAGAGGCCAAACGGUAGGGAGAAGUUAUCGAGAUGGUUACUACCAAUUUGUUUCACUGUAGAAAGAAUUCAUGGCCGCCUGAGGAGUAUGUCAGCAGAACUACCUUGCAAUUAUUGGAUUUUGAAAGUGCUGCCCCACCAGAGCAUGCCUGGAGAAGGAGAUUAAACAGUCAUGCCAAUAUUCUCAAGGAAUUCAGUGUUACAUUUAUGGAAGCAGUAAAAAUGGUUCGAUUGGGUAUACGGCUGUGGUCCUAUGUCAGGAAAGAGGCAUCUCAUGGAAGGAAAGCACCUAUAGAUCCCUUCACGCGGGAAAGUUGCAAGCCAUCAGCAUCUCAGGGAGUUCCGCUGGGAGGAAUGGGAAGCGGAAGCAUAUCUAGAGGUUUUAGAGGUGAGUUCAGGCAGUGGCAAAUCGUACCUGGUAUAUGUGAUGCUUCACCUGUCAUGGCCAAUCAGUUCUCCAUUUUUAUUUCUCGAGAUGGAGGGAGUAAAACUUAUGCAUCAGUUUUGGCUCCUGGCCAACAUGAAGGUUUGGGGAAAGCUGGUGAUCAGGGUAUAUCAUCAUGGGGCUGGAACUUAAGUGGUCAACAUUCUACAUAUCAUGCUUUAUUUCCCAGGGCAUGGACAAUAUAUGAUGGUGAACCAGACGCUGACCUGAAAGUCUCUUGCAGACAAAUAUCACCAUUCAUACCACAUAAUUAUAGAGACAGCAGCCUUCCUACUGCUGUUUUUGUCUAUACGGUAUACUCGUUCAACUUCUAAUGUCAUAUUUGCUUCAAUGACAUGGAUUAUACUUAAUAACUUAGGGAAACUGAUUCAAAUUCCUGUGAUACUAAAUAAUUGUUAUUGUAGCUUAAAUUUGCACCAAAUUAAAAUCAGUUCAAUACCUGUGUCAAGAGCAAUUAUUUCAGUUUUUCGCUCAUCUAACAUAAUAACAAUUCAGUUUGAUUGCCUAGUCAACUUAAAAUUUAUUACGACUGAUUCUCCAUUGUACAGGUUUAAAAAUAUAAGCGGCAGAUGGUUAAACUGUAUUAUCAUGUUCAUCUUAUAAUUGAGAUAUACUAAUUGGACUGUUCAGUUUCUUAACUUGUGAAUUUAUGAAGUUAUUUAUUUUGGUUUUCUCAAAAGAUUGCUAUAUAUAUAUAUAUAUUUACCCUUGCUGUAGUUGGUAAACACUGGGAAGGAAAGAGCAAAAGUUAACCUUCUCUUCACAUGGGCAAAUUCAAUUGGAGGCGUCUCACACUUGUCAGGAGAUCAUGUGAAUGAACCAUUCUUAGGUGAAGAUGGAGUCUCCGGUGUACUUCUACAUCACAAGACUGCAAAGGGUAAUCCUCCAGUUACUUUUGCAAUUGCUGCAUGUGAAACUCAGAAUGUAAGUGUGACUGUUCUGCCAUCCUUUGGACUGUCUGAGGCAAGUUGUACCACAGCGAAGAGUAUGUGGGGUAAAAUGUUGCAGGAUGGACAAUUUGAUCGGGAGAACUUCAAUUGUGGACCAAGCAUGCCUUCGUCACCUGGAGAAACACUUUGUGCAGCAGUUUCUGCUUCCACAUGGGUGGAACCUCAUGGAAAGUGUACGGUUGCAUUUGCUCUUGCGUGGUCAUCGCCAAAGAUAAAAUUCUCAAAAGGAAGCUCAUAUCACAGGAGAUACACAAAAUUUUAUGGUACUUCUGAAAGAGCAGCUCAGAAUUUGGUCCAUGAUGCACUGACGCAUUACAAGUGGUGGGAGGAAGAGAUUGAGAAAUGGCAAAAUCCUAUCCUCAAGGAUGAAAGGCUACCAGAAUGGUACAAGUUCACCUUGUUUAAUGAGCUCUACUUUUUGGUUGCUGGUGGAACUGUCUGGAUUGAUGCUCCCUUACUGGCUGAAGAUAUGAGAGAUGGCCACCAUCAGUUAAAAGAAAUAAAAACCAUGGAUGUCAAUCAUACUACAAUUAAUGGAUAUAAUGUGGCUAGUGUCAGAUCUGAAGACACUGAUGAAACAUCACAUUCAGAAUAUCCAAGCAAAGAUGAAUCACCUGUAUCUCAGGAGAAGGGAAAUCUCAGACACUCUUUAAACCAUUCCCCAUUGCUGGAACCCUGGAAUGACAGUGAUGACGUUGGCAGGUUUCUGUACUUGGAAGGAGUGGAAUAUAUCAUGUGGUGCACAUAUGAUGUUCACUUCUAUGCAUCAUUUGCCCUUCUUGAGUUGUUUCCCAAAAUUGAGCUCAAUAUUCAGCGUGACUUUGCUAAAGCUGUGCUAUGUGAGGAUGGAAGAAAAGUAAAGUUUCUGGCGGAAGGUAAUGUUGGAAUCCGUAAGGUCAGAGGAGCUGUCCCUCAUGAUCUUGGGACACAUGAUCCUUGGAAUGAAAUGAAUGCAUACAAUAUACAUGAUACGAGCAAGUGGAAGGAUCUAAACCCAAAGUUUGUACUUCAGGUGUAUAGAGACUUUGCUGCAACGCAGGAUAUGUCCUUUGGAGUUGAUGUCUGGCCUGCAGUUCGUACUGCCAUGGAAUACAUGGAACAAUUUGAUAGGGAUGAUGAUGCUCUGAUUGAAAAUGAUGGAUUCCCAGAUCAAACAUAUGAUACCUGGACAGUUCAUGGAGUAAGUGCUUACUGUGGCUGUUUAUGGCUUGCAGCACUUCAAGCUGCUGCAGCAAUGGCCCUUCAAGUAGGUGACAAGUAUUUUGCUGAAUUAUGCAAAAGCAAAUUUGUGAAGGCAAAAUCAGCAUUUGAAGCUAAAUUAUGGAAUGGUUCAUAUUUCAAUUAUGACAGUGGAUCAAGUAGUAACAGUAAAUCCAUACAAGCAGAUCAAUUGGCUGGGCAAUGGUAUACAGCAUCUGCAGGCUUACCUCCACUUUUUGAUGAAGUCAAGAUUAGAAGUUCUCUUCAGAAAAUAUUUGAUUUCAAUGUAAUGAAAGUUCGAGGAGGUAGGAUGGGGGCUGUAAAUGGAAUGCAUCCCAAUGGAAAGGUGGAUGAAACUUGUAUGCAGUCACGUGAAAUAUGGAGUGGUGUCACCUAUGCUGUCGCAGCUACCAUGAUUCAUGCUGGAAUGGAGGACCAGGCAUUCACUACUGCUGAAGGUAUUUUCCUUGCAGGCUGGUCGGAGGAGGGCUACGGAUACUGGUUCCAGACACCAGAGGCAUGGACCACUGGUGGACACUUCCGUUCCCUUAUUUACAUGAGGCCACUUGCAAUCUGGGGCAUGCAAUGGGCAUUAUCGCUGCCUAAGGCUAUCCUUGAGGCCCCAAAGAUCAAUAUAAUGGACAGACUUCUCUUGUCUCCUAGCACAAGAUUUGCUCUUUAUGAAACAGGAGUUAGAAAGAUUGCAACUAAAGCCAAGUGCUUUGGAGCUUCUGUGUUCCACUGUGCGUGCUAAUUAUGAAAUAUAAGUUCCCUCAUCUCUUUAAAGAAAAAUGUUCACUGAAUUUUUUAUAGCUUCCCAAACUCUCUACCAUAUGAAGAAAGCUGGGAGAGAUUCUGGGAGAAGUCUCUUUCUUAAGAGGGGCAAUAAAAAGCCAGGCUGUAAUUUAGUAGUCAAUUUAAUUACAUGGCAUUGAUGGGUCUUUCUUUGUCAUUGAAUAGAAUUUGUUGUAUAAUUCUUUCUAUGAAAAUCAUAUUUUUAAUUUUCUUAUUUAUUACAAAGGAUGAAUAUUUUAAUUAUCUGUAGGACUUUGAGGUCCUGGUUUUGAAAGAAUGAGGUCGUCUAUAAAUUAAUUGCCAUAGUUUAGAUGACCUGGUACAAUUAUACUUGCAAAUAUUUAUUUAGGACAUUCAAUUAUUGUUAAACAUAGAAAGGGAUAAUUUUGAGCAUUGUUUAGUUUGUGUUGUUGUUUGAUGGGAUGGUUUUGAAAUCUUGAUUUUAUAUCAGCGUAAAGACCUCAUCAAAGGAGGGAUUCUCGAAAAAAGCCAUUGCUACUGUUACAUACUGCUUGUAUAAGGAGAGAAUCAUAAUUAUAAAUGCUUUUUCUCAAUUCUCAGCCCCAAUUGAGUUGUAAAAAGGGGUGCCUCUCUAAGCCGCUGCUGAUGCUGAUAAUGCAUGUUGAUUUUUCAUCUUUGACAAAUCCUCGAGGAUAGAGGAUUUGAAGGUCACUACUCACAACUGAAUGUGACUUCGCGUGGAAUUAUUGUUUGGGUCACCCAGCUUUAAUGAUGUAAAGGAUGAUAGAUGGGGUGGUCCUAAAAGGGUGCCUAAGGUUGGAGGUUUCUUGUUAUGUGCUUUUCUUCAUUAUGGGCAGCGAGAUAUCCUGUGGUCCUUUUCUUACAUUUGCUGCAGUUUUUGCAAAUUGUAUAAUGAGUGGUGUAUAUGAACAUUGGAUUUUGACGUGUCAGAUAGAGAACCACGGUGGAGGUGGGGGAUGUUAGAAACAGAAAUUAUAAUUAGAAAAGAGAAGGGUAGAUUUGCUAGAAGUUCAACUCUUUGUCACGUCGAGUGUCGACUAUGAAUGUUCGUUGGAAGAUACAAUCAAAUUUGGGGAACUCUUUAAUAACGAACCUGGUUCAUUUAUUUAUCAUUGAGCC